GCCUACGGGGGGCAGCAGUGGGGAAUCUUCCGCAAUGGGCGAAAGCCUGACGGAGCAACGCCGCGUGAAUGACGAAGGCCUUCGGGUCGUAGAGUUCUGUCUUAUGGGACGAAUGUCGGGGAUGUGAAUAAUGUCUUCGAAUGACGGUACUAUAGGAGGAAGCCCCGGCUAACUACGUGCCAGCAGCCGCGGUAAUACGUAGGGGGCAAGCGUUGUCCGGAAUUACUGGGCGUAAAGGGCGUGUAGGUGGGUAAUUAAGUCAUGGGUGAAAACUGCGAGCUAAACUUGCAGACUGCCUAUGAAACUGGCUAUCUUGAGGGCAGGAGAGGAAAGUGGAAUUCCUAGUGUAGCGGUGAAAUGCGUAGAUAUUAGGAGGAACACCAGUGGCGAAGGCGACUUUCUGGACUGACCCUGACACUGAGGCGCGAAAGCUAGGGGAGCGAACGGGAUUAGAUACCCCGGUAGUCCC
rnacentral:rRNA from 1 species